rnacentral:rRNA from 1 species
AUGGAGGCCGCGGUGGGGGAAGCGAGGGGUCUCGGCUUCCCCUCCCAUAACCGCACCACUCGUCCGCUAGCUCCCCACGCAGGCGGAUUCGGAUGGAGGCGGCCGUCACCGGGCACGACGACUCCACGGACCGCUCCUCCGCACCCUUCUCCCCCUUCGCCGAGAAGCUGGACUGCGCCGGCGGCGCCGGCUCCCCCACCCCCAAGAAGGCGCCCCGCAAGGUCCCCAAGACGCCCCACAAGGUGCUGGACGCGCCGUCCCUGCAGGACGACUUCUACUUGA